GGAGCAACACUUGUGCGUGAAGUGGGUCAGGGGAGGAAUCCAGCAGCCCUAAGCGAU
rnacentral:SRP_RNA from 16 species